CGCCUGUUUNUCAAAAACAUCUCUUCUUGGUUUAUAUAUAUGAGGUAGGGCCUGCCCACUGAUUUUAUUGAAGGGCCGCGGUAUUUUGACCGUGCAAAGGUAGCAUAAUCAUUAGUUCUUUAAUUGUGAGCUGGUAUGAAUGGUUUGAUGAGGCGUCAACUGUCUUUCUUGGAUGUGAUUGAAUUUGGGGUUUGGGUAAGAAUACCUAACUUUUUUUAUGGGACGAGAAGACCCUAUAGAGUUUUAUGAUGGUAAAUCUUUUAUUGUUAGUUUGUUUUUAUAGCUUUUUCAUUAUUUUGUUGGGGUGAUGGGAAGAUAACUUAAACUCUUCUUUUUUAUAGGACAUAAAUUUAUGGAUAGUUGAUCCUUUAUUAUUGAUUAUAAGAUUAAAUUACCUUAGGGAUAACCAGCGUAAA
rnacentral:rRNA from 1 species